rnacentral:rRNA from 1 species
AUUGAACGCUGGCGGCAUGCUUUACACAUGCAAGUCGAACGGUAACAGGCCGCAAGGUGCUGACGAGUGGCGAACGGGUGAGUAAUGCAUCGGAACGUGCCCAGUCGUGGGGGAUAACGCAGCGAAAGCUGUGCUAAUACCGCAUACGAUCUAUGGAUGAAAGCGGGGGACCGUAAGGCCUCGCGCGAUUGGAGCGGCCGAUGUAAGGUUAGGUAGUUGGUGGGGUAAAGGCUCACCAAGCCAACGAUCUGUAGCGGGUCUGAGAGGACGACCAGCCACACUGGGACUGAGACACGGCCCAGACUCCUACGGGAGGCAGCAGUGGGGAAUUUUGGACAAUGGGCGCAAGCCUGAUCCAGCAAUGCCGCGUGCAGGAAGAAGGCCUUCGGGUUGUAAACUGCUUUUGUACGGAACGAAACGGCGAGCUCUAAUACAGUUUGCUAAUGACGGUACCGUAAGAAUAAGCACCGGCUAACUACGUGCCAGCCGCCGCCGUAA